rnacentral:rRNA from 1 species
CUACGGGAGGCUCCAGCAGGGAAUUUUGCGCAAUGGGCGAAAGCCUGACGCAGCGACGCCGCGUGGGGGAAGAAGGCCCUCGGGUUGUAAACCCCUUUUCUGGGGGAAGAGCAAGGACGGUACCCCAGGAAUAAGCCCCGGCUAACUACGUGCCAGCAGCCGCGGUAAUACGUAGGGGGCGAGCGUUGUCCGGAAUUACUGGAUGUAAAGAGCGCGUAGGCGGCCCAGGAAGUCCUUGGUGAAAUCUCCCGGCUCAACCGGGAGGGGUCCGAGGAAACUCCUGGGCUUGAGGACGGCAGAGGAGGGUGGAAUUCCCGGUGUAGUGGUGAAAUGCGAGGAUAUCGGGAGGAACACCAGUGGCGAAGGCGGCCCUCUGGGCUGUACCUGACGCUGAGGCGCGAAAGCGUGGGGAGCAAACCGGAUUAGAUACCCCCGUAGUC